CGCGGCCUAUCAGCUUGUUGGUGAGGUAACGGCUCACCAAGGCAUCGACGGGUAGCUGGUCUGAGAGGACGAUCAGCCACACUGGGACUGAGACACGGCCCAGACUCCUACGGGAGGCAGCAGUAGGGAAUCUUGCGCAAUGGGCGAAAGCCUGACGCAGCAACGCCGCGUGGGGGAUGAAUGCCUUCGGGUUGUAAACCCCUUUCAGCAGGGACGAAAAUGACGGUACCUGCAGAAGAAGCUCCGGCCAACUACGUGCCAGCAGCCGCGGUAAUACGUAGGGAGCGAGCGUUGUCCGGAAUUAUUGGGCGUAAAGAGCUCGUAGGCGGUUCGGUAAGUCGGGUGUGAAAACUCAAGGCUCAACCUUGAGACGCCACUCGAUACUGCUGUGACUUGAGUCCGGUAGGGGAGUGUGGAAUUCCUGGUGUAGCGGUGAAAUGCGCAGAUAUCAGGAGGAACACCAGCGGCGAAGGCGGCACUCUGGGCCGGUACUGACGCUGAGGAGCGAAAGCAUGGGGAGCAAACAGGAUUAGAUACCCUGGUAGUCCAUGCCGUAAACGUUGGGCACUAGGUAUGGGAUCAUAUCAACGGAUUCCGUGCCGUAGCUAACGCAUUAAGUGCCCCGCCUGGGGAGUACGG
rnacentral:rRNA from 1 species